rnacentral:rRNA from 1 species
AACGUAGGUGGCAAGCGUUAUCCGGAUUUACUGGGCGUAAAGGGUGUGCAGGCGGGCGGUCAAGUGGUGUAUGAAAUAUCCUGGCUCAACCAGGAGAGGUUAUGCCAGACUGACCGUCUUGAGUGCGAGAGAGGGGCGUGGAAUUCCGGGUGUAGUGGUGAAAUGCGUAGAGAUCCGGAGGAACCCCAGAGGCGAAGGCGGCGCCCUGGCUCGCAACUGACGCUCAUACACGACAGCAUGGGGAGCGAACGGG